GAACCGUCCAAACGUUUAUUCGGAAUCACUGGGCUUAAAGGGUGCGUAGGCGGCCCGGUAAGUUGGGUGUGAAAUCCCUCGGCUCAACCGAGGAACUGCGCCCAAUACUGCCGGACUUGAGGGAGACAGAGGUGAGCGGAACUUAGGGUGGAGCGGUGAAAUGCGUUGAUAUCCUAAGGAACACCUGUGGCGAAAGCGGCUCACUGGGUCUCUUCUGACGCUGAGGCACGAAAGCUAGGGUAGCGAACGGGAUUAGAUACCCCGGGUAGUCCUAGCUGUAAACGAUGAGCACUUGGUUGGAGGGACCCCCCCAAAUCUUUCCCGACCCGUAGCGAAAGUGUUAAGUGCUCCGCCUGGGGAGUAUGGUCGCAAGGCUG
rnacentral:rRNA from 1 species